rnacentral:lncRNA from 1 species
CUUUUGAAUUUCUUUAUAACAGUGUCAGCCUGACUGGCUGAGGGAUGCUCCUUGCCAGCAACAUCCUUGCUUAUCUACCUCAAAUUUGUUUUUCAGCAAAAGAAACAAAACAUGGGGAAAGAGAGAGUGAAAGCAGAGGAGAAUCAGCAUCCAAUCUUUGAAACUCAGCCAAUUUUAAACCUGGUUUGAUCUGCAUCAGUGAUGUGGAUCACCAUGGCAAAGUCAUUACUCCACGCCUGAAAUCCCUGCUGACACCAAUAAGUAUUUUGCUUGCAAAAUAUGAGCAGGAAUAUACAGCAGAGAGUUCAUUACAGAGCAUCUUCCAUUAACCCUUUCAUCAGUUAAGACAAAAUCUUGUCUUGCUUUCCUGGCAAGUUGAUCUCAGGAACUAUCUGCAGGUGAAUCUGGAUCCAAUAGGAACAACAUCAGACCUGACCUGCUUUGUCUUCUGUUGCUUCGCAUCCCUAUUUUAUCACUCAUCAAAGACAAGUGUAUGUUCUGCGUGACAAGACCAUCUCGUAGAGGGUUUGCAUACAAAGGGCAGAUUACAGAGAAUUGAGAGUAAAGCCCUUGGGGACACUUGUGCAAAUUGCAGCUGAAACAGAUGGUAUUUAAACAGAAAGUCUGGGCACAGUUAGGGAGGGAAGAGGGGAGAGGGAAGUCACAGAGGACCUGGAACAGACUGACAAGAUUCUGUAGCCUUGGCAACACCCUCUUCUGAUUGCCCACAACAACCGUGGAGGAUAGGGCAUGAAGGAUGCUGCUAAUCAAGUGCCAUCUCAGCCAAUCUUCCUUUCUGCCACUCUGCUCCGAAGGAAUUCAGUCUUUCUCUCAGUUCAACUCUACUCCUGGAGUGACUUAACUAUGUGGACAUGUCUCUGCUCAUGAGCUGGAGAGAAGCAGCCUAUGACAAGGGGAUAUGCAUGGAGAACUGGAAAUAACAAGCUAGGGAGAACUAUGCCUUCAGCAACUGCCUAGAGAGCAACAGAAAUGGGCUGAGACAUCUGCCUUGUUCGGCUCCACUUCCCCAAAGCAGCACUCUAUCAGCAGUAUAAGUCAGCAAAUUUCAUAUUCCAUAUCAAAUCCCAGACAGAAAAUCUUUGCUGGCACUGGGGCUCUGAGAAUGGCCAGCACUUUUUCUCACCUCUCAGGACUCUCCUGCUGCUCUGAGUUCAUGGUGCUCAGAGGAUGCUCUAAGCACAUCUGCAGCUCCCUGCUCCUUUGAUGCCGGAGCCAUGCACUUCAAAUAAAACCUUUAAACUUUUUCUAUGAGCCA